UGGGGAAUUUUGCACAAGGGGGGCAACCCUGAUGCAGCGACGCCGCGUGAUUUAGAAGGCCUUCGGGUUGUAAAAAUCUUUUGUAUAGGAAGAAAAUGACAGUACUAUACGAAUAAGGUCCGGCUAAUUACGUGCCAGCAGCCGCGGUAAUACGUAAGGACCGAGCGUUGUCCGGAAUCAUUGGGCGUAAAGGGUACGUAGGCGGUUAAAAAAGUUAGAAGUGAAAGGCUAUAGCUCAACUAUAGUAAGCUUUUAAAACUGUUUAACUUGAGAGAUGGAAGGGAAAGUGGAAUUCCUAGUGUAGCGGUGAAAUGCGCAGAUAUUAGGAGGAAUACCGGUGGCGAAGGCGACUUUCUGGCCAUUAUCUGACGCUGAGGUACGAAAGCGUGGGUAGCAAACAGG
rnacentral:rRNA from 1 species